GGGCGAAAGCCUGAUGGAACAACGCCGCGUGAGUGAAGAAGGAUUUCGGUUCGUAAAACUCUGUUGUAAGGGAAGAACAAGUACAGUAGUAACUGGCUGUACCUUGACGGUACCUUAUUAGAAAGCCACGGCUAACUACGUGCCAGCAGCCGCGGUAAUACGUAGGUGGCAAGCGUUGUCCGGAAUUAUUGGGCGUAAAGCGCGCGCAGGUGGUUUCUUAAGUCUGAUGUGAAAGCCCACGGCUCAACCGUGGAGGGUCAUUGGAAACUGGGAGACUUGAGUGCAGAAGAGGAUAGUGGAAUUCCAAGUGUAGCGGUGAAAUGCGUAGAGAUUUGGAGGAACACCAGUGGCGAAGGCGACUAUCUGGUCUGUAACUGACACUGAGGCGCGAAAGCGUGGGGAGCAAACAGGAUUAGAUACCCUGGUAGUCCACGCCGUAAACGAUGAGUGCUAAGUGUUAGGGGGUUUCCGCCCCUUAGUGCUGCAGCUAACGCAUUAAGCACUCCACCUGGGGAGUACGGUCGCAAGACUGAAACU
rnacentral:rRNA from 1 species